rnacentral:rRNA from 1 species
GACGAACGCUGGCGGCGUGCUUAACACAUGCAAGUCACGGGGGUCCCGCAAGGGAUAACCGGCGAACGGGUGCGUAACACGUGAACAACCUGCCCUCGUGUGGGGGAUAGCCGGGCUAACGCCCAGGUAAUACCGCAUACGUUCCUCUGGGGGAGUCCCCUGGGGGAGGAAAGCUCCGGCGCACGGGGAGGGGUUCNCGGCCUAUCAGCUAGUUGGGGGACGG